GCCAGCGUAGCUCAGUGGUAGAGCAAUGCUUUCGUAAAGCAAAGGUCGUCGGUUCAAUCCCGACCGCUGGCUCCA
rnacentral:tRNA from 1 species